ensembl:lncRNA
GCCUUAAUGAGCGGCAGGAGGACUGGGAGCGAGCCAGAAGGCUCGCCUCUCCUUCCUCCUGGUUUUAGAGGAUUCUCUAAUAAGGGAUAACUGGGAGAAAAAGGAGAGAAACUCAACUCGGGGUAACAGCGGUAACAGCGGGAGUCCCCCAGCAAUCUUCUAAGCAGCUUCCCCAGAAGGCCUCCAGCCAUUCCUGGGGACCGGAAGACUUAAUGAGCACAACCCUCCCUGCCUGUGGGGCUGAACGCCACCACUAAAGCGCUUUUCGCUCGGGUCCCUGCCCUCUGGGAUCAGCCGGCCACUCCACUAGGAGAAAGCAGAGAAGGGAGGAAUUCUUGGCAGCCUUGACCCAGCUGUUGCCGGAUGAGAUAAAUAUAUCCACUUUGUCUUAUGUAAGGGGUCACUGAAAUGUAGGUAGCUCGAGAUGCUAACAAGAUGAACUUGAAUUUAGUUUCUAGAACAAAUGGAAUGUAAAGGCAGAUACAGGGACAAAGUUUCUGUCCCUUUCCUUCCUCAUUUUCUUUCUCUGGCCUUCUUUCUCUGUCUUUCCCUCCCUUCUCCAUCCCUCUUCCAUUUUCUCUUCCUCCCUCCCGUCUUCCUUUCCUCCCUCUUUCCUCCCUUUUCUAUCUUUAUUUCUUUUCUGCAUCGGAGUCUCUGGUCCAAGUUGGCCUCAACCUCCCUCUGUAGCCGAGGAUGACUUCGGUGUCUAUGUUUCUUGCCUCCUCCACCCGCCCAGUGCUGAGAUUAUGAACAUACCACCACACCCUCUUUAUACAGUGCUAGAAAGAGAACCUAGGGCUUCGUCCUCUACAACGGAGCUCGGUCUCUAACCCUGAGAGAUUCUAUUGCAUCUGUCCACAAAGGGGUCACAAGAACAGGCUGCUGCCACUCCCAAAUGUGGACCAGCACCUAAAGAUACGUGGGCAUUGCAGCAGGAGAGAAACUUGCGUGGCCUUUCACAAUUUUUUAACUGUCUUGAGAUUCACGCGUGUUGUUCCAUGACUGAUACUUCAUUUCUUCUCAUAUAUGAACAGAAUUCCACAGUGUGAACACAGCAUACUUCAUCCUCUCGUUUCAGCAUCUCGUUUCAGCUUUGUAUCUUCCUUAGGAUAAGUCAAAUUUCCAUGAAAUUUUGUGCCCGUCUUUUCAUGGAUAUUGUCUCACCCUUUUUGGACAAAUGGGUUGGGAGCAAAAUUCCUGAAUGACACUGCUGCUCUACGUUUAAUGUUUAAAGGAACUGACAAGCUGUGUAGAGGAGUUAUUGACAACCUAGAGCAAUCAGGUCUUGAAUGUGUAGCUACCUAACUGGAUGGACAGAGCUGCUAGCUGGACGGAUUUCAGAAGGAUGGCACCGAGCAUCCCGUCUGCUCGUUUUCCGUCUUGCAAGCUCUCCACAUCUUUUGAAGUACUUUGUUGGUUGUAUAACUGAGACCGAGGACUCUUUCUAUAUUCUGAGUGAGUGCACAUCAGUUAUAAACACCACCGGACAUACAGAUAAUUAAAAAUAAAACCCAUCUGAAAGAGUGAUUUUGCUGUC